AGUAGGUAGAAAUCACAAUAGAUCAAAACUCUUUGGCUAAAUAUUUUAGAAAAAUCCUUUGCUAAAUCAUGCAGUAAAACAUCUCUGCAAAUGAUCAACCACUUUGAUAAUGACACACACACACACACACACCAAUUUCUUCUUUCUCACUCUAGGUCUUCCAGAACAUGCUGUUAUCCUUGAUGUGAGAACAAGGUGGAAUAGCUUGUUCCUCAUGGUGGAGCGAUUCCUGGAGCAGUUCCCUGCCAUCCAGGCCACCUCCAUGGACCCUCGGCUUAAGAAAUCAAUGGAGAAGGACAGACUGCAGAGAGUUUCUGAUGAGGAUUUCAGAAAAGCAGAACAGUUUGUCAAAGUUACAAAGAUACUUUACACUUCAACCCACUGCUUUCUGCUGAAAGGAGCCCAACCUUGGGUCAGAUUCUGCCAAUCUUAAAUAAACUCCAGCACCACUUCACAGUUAAUGAUGAGGACUCCUCCUUCACAAAGACCAUCAAGGACACCAUCUGGAAUGACCUCUCAAAAAGAUACCAGGAUGGCAGCAUCAGACAGUUCUUGGAGGAGGGCACAGCCUUGGAUCCCAGAUUCAAGUCAAAAGUGGCAGAUGAAGUGUGGACCAGACUGGAGGAGGAGCUGAUGAGAAGGACCUCAGAACAGACUCAGGCAGAGCAGAUAGAACAGGGGGUCAAAGAGAGAGCAGGUGACCAAGAUGACAGCUCAACUGACGAAGACAGUGCAUCUGCAGCAACAACACUGAAGAAGCAAAAGCUCUCUGCCCUUGAGGAGCUGUUUGCUGUGGAGGACAUGGCAAUUGAAGCAAGAACACAGACCACUGUCAGCAGCCUUACAGAGAA